UCUGAGACUUGCUCAUAAGAGGCU
rnacentral:piRNA from 1 species